UACGGAGGGGGCAAGCGUUAUUCGGAAUUAUUGGGCGUAAAGGGCGCGUAGGCGGCUUGAUGUGUCAAAGGUGAAAUCCCUCGGCUCAACUGAGGAACUGCCUUUGAAACUGUCUGGCUUGAGGCCGGGAGAGGGUAGCGGAAUUCCCAGUGUAGCGGUGAAAUGCGUAGAUAUUGGGAGGAACACCAGUGGCGAAGGCGGCUACCUGGACCGGUUCUGACGCUGAGGCGCGAAAGCGUGGGUAGCAAACAGG
rnacentral:rRNA from 1 species